ensembl:rRNA 5S_rRNA 5S ribosomal RNA
GCUUACGGGCCAUACCUCUCUGGGCUCCGCCUGAUCUCGUCUGAUCUCAGAAGCUAAGCAGAGUAGGGCCUGGUUAGUACUUGGAUGGGAAGACCGCCUGGGAAUCCCAGGUGCCGUAAGCU